AGAGUUUGAUCAUGGCUCAGAACGAACGCUGGCGGCAGGCCUAACACAUGCAAGUCGAGCGCCCGCAAGGGAGCGGCAGACGGGUGAGUAACGCGUGGGAACGUGCCCUUUGGUUCGGAAUAUUCCCGGGAAACUGGGAGCAAAACCGGAUAAGCCCUUCGGGGGAAAGUUUACGCCAAAGGAUCGGCCCGCGUUAGAUUAGGUAGUUGGUGGGGUAACGGCCUACCAAGCCUACGAUCUAUAGCUGAUCUGAGAGGAUGAUCAGCCACACUGGGACUGAGACACGGCCCAGACUCCUACGGGAGGCAGCAGUGGGGAAUCUUGGACAAUGGGCGCAAGCCUGAUCCAGCCAUGCCGCGUGGAUGACUGAAGGCCCUAGGGUUGUAAAGUCCUUUCGACGGGGACGAUAAUGACGGUACCCGUAGAGGAAGCCCCGGCUAACUUCGUGCCAGCAGCCGCGGUAAUACGAAGGGGGCUAGCGUUGUUCGGAUUUACUGGGCGUAAAGGGCGCGUAGGCGGAUUUUUAAGUCGGGGGUGAAAUCCCGGAGCUCAACUCCGGAACUGCCUUCGAUACUGGAAGUCUGGAGCACGGUAGAGGUGAGUGGAAUUCCGAGUGUAGAGGUGAAAUUCGUAGAUAUUCGGAGGAACACCAGUGGCGAAGGCGGCUCACUGGACCGUUGCUGACGCUGAGGCGCGAAAGCGUGGGGAGCAAACAGGAUUAGAUACCCCGGUA
rnacentral:rRNA from 1 species